AACAAUUGUGAUUACUACCAUUGGUGCAGCGACUAAAACUGAAUCUUGGUGGCCCAGUAUGGUUGAGAUUUCCACCUGUGGUCAUAAGGUUCGAAUUCUACUCAUGAAACAUUUGUGUGGCUGUCCUACACGCCCUACGUCGUGCCUACGUGGACUCCGCACUCAUAGUGGACUGUCACAAAUCCUUGGAAAACCUCUGUCUUACAGACAGCCCACUAUGCAGAGCAUGCAUGGAGGCGAUGCAUCAACAAGACAAGAGUUCCUGGGAAAUCCAGGGACCAUGAGCGAAGCCUGCCGUUCACCAUCGGCGGUGCUCCGCUUCCUGAAGGAGCUGGGCUGGCUGGAAUGAUCAGCUCAGACUCCGCACGCAGAAAGGGCCCAGAGACAAGAGGGCUAACUGCGGAAAACAGUCCUCGAGGGAAGUAAGAAGUAUGACCAUGCAUGAGAUUAGGAAAUAUAUGUUCUUCACAGUCAUCCUCAUGGCUAAGAUUCCAUAUACAAUGGUUUGCCAUUGCCUUCUCUAUUUCACACACAAGUUGAGAAUCAACCAAAGUGGUAGGUUUCCUCACGAUGUUUUCCAUCACCAGAAACAAGUGAUGAUCGAUGAAAACAUUAUACAUGACUCAGAUUGCUAUACGAACUCAUGUGGCACGAGUAGGAUUUCGUACCUUUCGACGGGACAGGUUAACGGUUUUAACCACUUCGAAAUAUAUAACACGACAUCUUUGUUAGACUGCCGAACACUAGAUACUUUCAAAAUGUUUGGCGUGUAGGUCCCGCCCCAGAACUGGACCACUUCAUGUGAAAGUAAACUGCACUAUUUAUCAAAUUUCAACUAAAAUCACUAUUUCAAAUUAAUAAACAUAUGCGCUAAUUAUCAAGCUUCAAGUAAUCACUACUUAAAAUUAAAUUAUAAUCUGUCAAUGGGCACAUAUAAUGAUCAUAAAAUUAAAAAUAUCCUACCUAUGGAGCUGUUUACACGAGAGCACUCAAACUGAUAAGAGAGCACCUGAGAUGUGAAUAUACUGAUAAGAGAAGCGAUAACAGUUAAUCUCAUGUGACAACCUUGACCCCGUUUUUCUUUAUUUUUGGUUGUGACAACAC